rnacentral:rRNA from 1 species
GACGGGACCCGCACAAGCGGUGGAUGAUGUGGUUUAAUUCGAUGCAACGACGAAAACCUUACCCACCUUUGACAUGGCAGGAAUCCCGAAGAGAUUUGGGAGUGCUCGAAAGAGAACCUGCACACAGGUGCUGCAUGGCUGUCGUCAGCCCGUGUCGUGAGAUGUUGGGUUAAGUCCCGCAACGAGCGCAACCCUUGCCAUUAGUUGCUACGAAAGGGCACUCUAAUGGGACUGCCGGUGACAAACCGGAGGAAGGUGGGGAUGACGUCAAGUCCUCAUGGCCCUUAUAGGUGGGGCUACACACGUCAUACAAUGGCCGGUACAGAGGGUAGCCAACCCGCGAGGGGGAGCCAAUCCCACAAAGCCGGUCGUAGUCCGGAUCGCAGUCUGCAACUCGACUGCGUGAAGUCGGAAUCGCUAGUAAUCGCGGAUCAGCAUGUCGCGGUGAAUACGUUCCCGGGUCUU